UUAAUUAUGCUGUUGUACGUUUAUAAUAAUUCUAGUUUAUACUAAUACUAUAAUGAGGAAAGACUUGAUUUUUAUGUAUUUAUAUAUAGGGGGAAGUUCCCUAAGCCCGGACGGCUCCUAAAGCCCGACAUAGUUUAAAUCGGAGCGAAGAAGCGCGCCAAUUUGUUGCUUUUGCCACGGUUAGAAAGGUUAUCUCAAGUGAAGUUCGAGGGAGGGAGAGUCAAUAGUCAGUACUGACUGGUUCGUCGUAAAACUUGGUCUAAAUUUUUAGUUAUUAUUUUGCUGCUGAAGUUCAUCAUCAGACUUCAACAGCUAAAGUUAACAUUUGCAAUGACGCUUAUACGGGUACACCCGGAGAUCUGUCUCAGAAGCCUUUCGACGUCAAUGAAAAGGAGAAUGUUGAUACACAACCGUCAAUAAGCAAAGCAAUUCUCACUGUAAUUCAUCAGCUAUCACCAGUCUCAAGCACUGCAGCAAAGAGAGUCGUGAGUCGACGACGAAAAGCUGAGAAAAGUCAGAUUUUAACAUCCUCCCCCUACAAAGAUGCGCGCAUUGAAAAGAAGGCAACAAAGGCUAAACCUCUUGUAGUUAAAAUGCAACAACUGAAAGGCAAGAAAACUAACGACCCGACUAAAAAUAUUGAUAGCUUGAAGUUUGCAGUCAGUGGGCUCAUGAAGCGUGUGCUGAUGUUGAAGAGGGUUCAGUUAGCUACAUUUGUGAUUUUUGCAAAUUGUACAAUUAAAGUUUUGUGAUUCUAUAAAAACGUUCCUGAUUAUGACCAAAGUUUAUUAGAAUUACGAUUAGUUUUUUUUUUAUUAACAGUUAAAGUUAUUAAAUUAGAUUAUACAUUAGGUAGAUUGGAACUGUUUAGUUAUAAUAAUGUUUAAGUUUGAAAAUGAACGAAAAAAUGUCUGUCCGGCAUUAGGGGACCUUUUUGGGCACGUCCUUUUUUCUAUGUUAAUUGUUCCUUAGUAUUUACCACAUUUAAAGUAACAUUUAAGACUGCUGAUAUAUCUGAGUUGAUUACGUAUAUAGUUAAAAGCUUAUUAAAGUGAAAUAAAAAAAUUAGACUAUUA